rnacentral:tRNA from 1 species
GCCGCCUUAGCUCAGCUAGUAGAGCACAUCUUUCGUAAAGAUGGGGUCCCCAGUGCAAAUCUGGGAGGCGGCUCCA